CAGUCGCCGCGGGAAUACAGAGGGUGCGAGCGUUAAUCGGAUUUACUGGGCGUAAAGCGUGCGUAGGCGGCUUCUUAAGUCGGAUGUGAAAUCCCUGAACUUAACUUAGGAAUUGCAUUCGAUACUGGGAAGCUAGAGUAUGGGAGAGGAUGGUAGAAUUCCAGGUGUAGCGGUGAAAUGCGUAGAGAUCUGGAGGAAUACCGAUGGCGAAGGCAGCCAUCUGGCCUAAUACUGACGCUGAGGUACGAAAGCAUGGGGAGCAAACAGGAUUAGAUACCCCCGUAGUCCCUGUCUCUUAUAC
rnacentral:rRNA from 1 species